rnacentral:rRNA from 1 species
UCUAGCUACAGGCUUAACACAUGCAAGUCGAGGGGCAGCAUGGUCUUAGCUUGCUAAGGCCGAUGGCGACCGGCGCACGGGUGAGUAACACGUAUCCAACCUGCCGUCUACUCUUGGACAGCCUUCUGAAAGGAAGAUUAAUACAAGAUGGCAUCAUGAGUCCGCAUGUUCACAUGAUUAAAGGUAUUCCGGUAGACGAUGGGGAUGCGUUCCAUUAGAUAGUAGGCGGGGUAACGGCCCACCUAGUCUUCGAUGGAUAGGGGUUCUGAGAGGAAGGUCCCCCACAUUGGAACUGAGACACGGUCCAAACUCCUACGGGAGGCAGCAGUGAGGAAUAUUGGUCAAUGGGCGAGAGCCUGAACCAGCCAAGUAGCGUGAAGGAUGACUGCCCUAUGGGUUGUAAACUUCUUUUAUAAAGGAAUAAAGUCGGGUAUGGAUACCCGUUUGCAUGUACUUUAUGAAUAAGGAUCGGCUAACUCCGUGCCAGCAGCCGCGGUAAUACGGAGGAUCCGAGCGUUAUCCGGAUUUAUUGGGUUUAAAGGGAGCGUAGAUGGAUGUUUAAGUCAGUUGUGAAAGUUUGCGGCUCAACCGUAAAAUUGCAGUUGAUACUGGAUAUCUUGAGUGCAGUUGAGGCAGGCGGAAUUCGUGGUGUAGCGGUGAAAUGCUUAGAUAUCACGAAGAACUCCGAUUGCGAAGGCAGCCUGCUAAGCUGCAACUGACAUUGAGGCUCGAAAGUGUGGGUAUCAAACAGGAUUAGAUACCCUGGUAGUCCACACGGUAAACGAUGAAUACUCGCUGUUUGCGAUAUACGGCAAGCGGCCAAGCGAAAGCGUUAAGUAUUCCACCUGGGGAGUACGCCGGCAACGGUGAAACUCAAAGGAAUUGACGGGGGCCCGCACAAGCGGAGGAACAUGUGGUUUAAUUCGAUGAUACGCGAGGAACCUUACCCGGGCUUAAAUUGCAGAUGAAUUACGGUGAAAGCCGUAAGCCGCAAGGCAUCUGUGAAGGUGCUGCAUGGUUGUCGUCAGCUCGUGCCGUGAGGUGUCGGCUUAAGUGCCAUAACGAGCGCAACCCUUGUUGUCAGUUACUAACAGGUUCCGCUGAGGACUCUGACAAGACUGCCAUCGUAAGAUGUGAGGAAGGUGGGGAUGACGUCAAAUCAGCACGGCCCUUACGUCCGGGGCUACACACGUGUUACAAUGGGGGGUACAGAGGGCCGCUACCACGCGAGUGGAUGCCAAUCCCCAAAACCUCUCUCAGUUCGGACUGGAGUCUGCAACCCGACUCCACGAAGCUGGAUUCGCUAGUAAUCGCGCAUCAGCCACGGCGCGGUGAAUACGUUCCCGGGCCUUGUACACACCGCCCGUCAAGCCAUGGGAGCCGGGGGUACCUGAAGUGCGUAACCGCGAGGAGCGCCCUAGGGUAAAACUGGUGACUGGGGCUA